UCACACUACAAACCACUCAAAAUAUCUAUGAAGUUGAAUGAUGUAGGAUAAGAGUGAAUUACAAUGAUUCAAGUGAAAACAAUACAAUAUGUCCUCAAACCAUUAAGAGCUCCUCUAUAUCUUAUCUCAUUUGUAUUCAAAUACAAAGAAAAAAAACGAAAAACAUAGCCAAUAACUUUACACACGAUGUUAAGUCUUGUAAUCGAGCCCAGAAGUAAGUGUUCUUAUGCUCUUAACACGAUGGAUGAGGUAACACACCCUUAGACUAAUUGGUUUGCCAUAAAGCCUUUUAGUAAUAAAAAUAGCUCUGUGAAUCUUAGGGCUACGAGAAGCUAGAAACGAUUGGAGCUAUGUGAGUGGUAGGUAGCAAUGUAGGGAUAUAGCUCUGUGAAUCUCAGUUAACUUAAGAGGUUAAUAAACGGCUAUUGCGCUAAGAGUCGCAAAGGUUGUACCCAAUUAUAACUCUGUACAUCGCAGUAAUGUUUUAUGAUAACUGAACCUAGUUUAAACCAGACUUUCCAUCUUUAGAUUUUCUAAAACCUUUUACUGCUUUCCCAAACUUAACCUUUUAUAUUUACUGUUGUGACAAAUGAUUUAUUUUAUUUAUGUAAACAAGUUUUCUGCUGAAAAUCUACGCGUAGCUUUAGCUCCACAGUCCAUGUGGUCGAU
rnacentral:lncRNA from 1 species